rnacentral:rRNA from 1 species
ACAGGUGGCUGCAUGGCUGUCGUCAGCUCGUGUCGUGAGAUGUUGGGUUAAGUCCCGCAACGAGCGCAACCCUACGCUGAGUUACCAGCACGUAAAGGUGGGGGACUCUCAGUGGACUGCCGGCGACAAGCCGGAGGAGGGUGGGGACGACGUCAAGUCAUCAUGGCCCUCAUGUCCAGGGCGACACACGUGCUACAAUGGCCGGCACAACGGGAAGCGACGGCGCGAGUCGUAGCGGAUCCCUCAAAGCCGGUCCCAGUUCGGAUUGCAGUCUGCAACUCGACUGCAUGAAGCCGGAAUCGCUAGUAAUCGUGGAUCAGCCAAGCCGCGGUGAAUACGUUCCCGGGCCUU